rnacentral:misc_RNA from 1 species
GACGGAUAAAUGGAGAAAUUUCAUGAAGAAUCAGAUUAGGAGAGCUAGGAUGUUCUUCAAUGAGGCAGAGAAAGGAGUAACAGAGCUGAGUGCUGCAAGUANAGCUCAGCGCUGCAAGUAGAUGGCCGGUAUGGGCAUCCUUACUCUUAUACCGGCAAAUACUAGACGAGAUAGAAGCAAAUGAUUAUGACAACUUCACAAAGAGGGCUUACGUGAGCAAAGCCACGAAGCUGGCUUUCUUGCCAAUUGCAUAU